CGACGAGGACGAAUGGCGCCGCUUCCGCUCGGGCGGCUCCCGCCCCGCCCCUUCCGGCAUCUCCGGGAUUCCGUCCGCACCGGCUGGUGAUCAGAGCUGAGCACACCGACUAGGCUCCCAGCGCGGGAGGCUGCUGCCUGUAAUCAAGUAAUUUGCAACCUGGGCAGGAGACAAGCAUUAUGAUAAUUAUCCAAACAAGCCCAGAUAUAAACAGCAUAGUAAAAGUUUCCAAGAAUUACCUGGAGGACUGGUAAUAGAAGAGACGAAAUGCCUCUCAUCAAAGAUAAACAUUUUGAGACCACUAAGAAGUCUACACCCCUACCCUUUGUCACAUUCCUGGAAAAAUCCUUAAAAGGGGAAAAACCUUAUCUUUCAGUGCACCUCUUCUCUGAGGUAGCCCACACUCCCCAUUCUCCGAGUGUGCACCUUUUUGCCUUAAAACUUUUUCUCAACCUCUCAGGGCACCUCUCUCUGAGGUUACCUGCAUUUUCUUUUUCUUUAAAUAAAAAACCUCUCAGGUUUUUCUCUGAGGUUCCCUGCACUUUUUCUCAACCUUUCAGGGUGUGCCUCUCCUCUCUGAGGUUGCCUGUGUACUUUUUCUCUUUGUGUAACUUUAUUAAAUAAAACUCUGCUUCACUA